AUAGGUUUAUCUUUGUUAAGGCAACAACUCAUUAUGACAUCACAGAAAAGGGCUGGCUGCCUCUGAAGCAAAUCAGAUGGUAUUACUUCAGAUGCCAGUUGCAGAGAACUUCCUGGGGCCCAGAAUCUUCUAGAAAGUAGGCUUCUUGAACUUUUUCCCAGGUUGUGGACACCAAUUUCCCUCUACCAUCUAAGACAACAGGAAGAAGUUCUACCACCUGCUGGAUUUCCCUAAUGUAUCCUAACUACCUAUCUCUCUCCCACUAACUGCCCCACAAAAUUAAUUACUAGGAGUUUGAUGAGUAUCCAUGAUUGGAAACACACUGACCUUCAGUGCUUUGUAGAUGACCCCUGGGUGCCUCGGAGAACGGGUAGUGUUAUUCUCCAGCUGCUGCUCCAAGGCCCGUCUGAGCCCAGAGAAAUCUGUAGGGGGAUUGUAAGUCCUUGUUCCUUUGUAGUGGAUGGAACUGAAAGCUUCAGGGAAUCGACCCAGCUUCCGGAAACGAUCCUGUAUCAGCUUCUCAGGUACUUCAGAGGGAUGAUCUGUAGAGGUACGAAUACAGCUAUUUCUUCCCAUACGCCCUUUCCACCACUUAAGGGAGCAGAAGGAAGCACCAUGCAAACAGGGUCUGAAGACACUGUUUCUCCCACAGUUAAUCCGAAGCAAUAAACUAAGAUGAAGCAAAGCUAGGUAUCAGUACAGAAUGAGUCCUUGGCCAAAUCACUUCUCCAAUAAUUUAGUCUGUAUCGUUUGCAAAAUGAUUCAUUUGCUUUCAAGCCUAAGAAGAAACACAUAUAAAGUAAAAGAGAAGUAGAAAUCAUAUGCAAUAAGGUGACAGAUCAAAUUAUUUGUUUUCCCCAAUUCUAUUCCUUCUCUCAGAAAUACACAGAAUUUUCCUGCUCUAAAUACCUCACAUUUCUAUAAAGAAUUCCUGACAAUGUAAUAUAAAAAGAUGGCUCAGUUACAGACCCAAAGGUAGCAAUGAAUCACUCUCCAAAAGCCCUGAAGAUUAAGUGUACAAUACUAGUUCAACAUACAGAAAAAAAUCUUAAGAGAAAAGUCUUUCUACCCCUUCUUUUUCUUAAAUUCAUAAUCAUGGAGCUGAAAAGAACCAUGGAAAUAAUUUAGUUCAACCUUCCUAUUUUCCUAGUAAAGUAAAGAAAUACCUAUUACAGGUCCCCUAAAACAAAUAUUACUGAUUUUAUAUUAUUCCUUCCUGCUUUCACCAGUUUGAAUAAAAUGUUAAUUUAGGGCAUUUAACUGGCAACAGGAUAUUGGAGCCCCCACUACUAAAAUUCUGGUCUACCAGUAACCCUUUGAUGAAUACAUUUGCAAAUCAUGUUACCACUGGAAUUUUAGCACUUUAGAGUGCUAGGUUAGAAGAUAGGAUCAAUAGUAUGCUACAGGAUAAUUAUUUUUUAACAGUUCUUUACUAAAUAGUUACCUAUGAUAUUACUAAAUCUAUUAACAUAAAACCAUUUUGCAAUGAGAUUCUGCUACAGAUCACCAAAUAAUCAUUUCCAAUUUCCCAAACUACAAGGGUAGUUUAUGUAAUAUAGUAAAGGUAAUAUUUCUUAAAUUCAUUAACUUUAUUUUUUUAUUAUGAACUUGAAAACAUUAACAACCAUAAACAUUUACUUCCACAAAGAAAAGAAGAAAAGAGGAUUGUAUAGGAUACAAUGUGAAAUUGAUUUCCUGUGUCCCUUUUCUGAACUUUCUUCUGCUCUUAUUCUCUGUAUUUUUAGUGUUCCAUUGAUUCUUUUUAUUUUUUUAACUCCUUUUCCCCCUUUUGGGAGAGAUGGAGGUAGGUAUUAUUAUCUUCCCAUUUCCCACCAUAAAAAUAGGGGAAAUUCCUCCUGAAUUAGAAAUAGUAUUAAGUGCUCCUAUAUCACUUACCAACUUAAAAGACAAGUAUACAUCAUGACUCAAAUACAGACUUCCACAGUCAGCUUUGUUACUAUUUCUUAUUUAAAAUUGAAUAACUAAUAUUGCAUAUUAAUUCAUGGGGAAAACACCUUAAGAAGUUAACACUUUUAAGAAAACAAGAUCUAAUAUGAUUAAAGCAAACUAACAGGAUCACAGGGCUUAGAACUAACUAGAAGGAACCUUAGUGAUCACCUAGUCUAGCAGUUCUUAUGGGGAAAACUCAAAGUCAGAAGUUUUCAUAAUAAUACUAAGAUGUUAUCUGCAUUAAAUUUCUCCUCCUUUUCUAACUACAUAUCUAUAUAAGACUGGAUUUCUUCACAUACUUCAACCAAAACAACAUAUCCUAACAGAUUGAAAGCAGAAGCAAAGAUGAGAAUCCAACUGUCUUCUAUUUAGCCAGACAUUUAAAGAGACAUGCAAAAAACAUGUAAAUCCAUGCCACUAAUCUCACUAUUUUUUUUUUUGGUUUUGGAAAGCUAUUUGAAUAAAAAUAGUAUUUAGUUAACAUGUAAUAGAUUUAUUAUUUUUUAAUUAAUAAAUAUUUUAGACUUCACAGAUCUUAAUUUGUAGAACAAUAAAUACUUAUAGAUGUAACCCACAUAAACAAAAGCUCUGAGGGUCUCAAUAAUUUUUAAGAUAAUUAAAGAAUACAGAGACGAAAUAAUUUGAGAAACACUAGUCUAGUCUAAUCUCUUCAUUUUACAGAUAUGGAAAUUGAGACAGAGAAAAAUGACUAACCAUAUGAAGGAAACAAGCAGAGAUAUAUUCAAAACCAGAUACUCUGACUCCAAAUCAAGUAUUUUUAUAUGAAAUACUUAGGCAAGUUCCUUUAAUAAAAAAAACUCUCUAAAGUUUCUCCUCCACCUUUUGUACCUCUUCUUUUGGGGAAAGGAAAGGAAAUUCAGCCAACCAAAGUUUAAUCCAAUACUAAGAGGGAAAAGAGCUACACAGAGAAAAUUAAAAUGGAGGAAAAAGAAAAAACUAUUACUAAAACUAUUACCAAGAAAGUGCUAACAAGCUAACAACUACUUCAUUUUUC